GCGGCAUGGCUAAAGCAUGCAAGUCGAACGCGAAAGCCCCUUCGGGGGCCGGUAGCGUGGCGAACGGGCGAGGAAUGCGUUUCUAACGUGCCCCAAGGCCGGGGAUAGCUCGGGGAAACCCGGGGUAAUACCCGAUGAUCCACGGUGAUCGCAUGGUCGCGGUGGCAAAGGCUUGCCACCUUGGGAUCGGGAAACGUGCUAUCAGGUAGUUGGUGGGGUAACGGCCUACCAAGCCUAAGACGGCUAGCGGGUGUGAGAGCAUGACCCGCCGCAUCGGGACUGAGACACUGCCCGGACUCCUACGGGAGGCUGCAGCAACGGAUCUUCCGCAAUGCGCGAAAGCGUGACGGAGCAAUGCCGCGUGCAGGAGGAAGCCCCUCGGGGUGUAAACUGCUGUCAGGGUUUAGGAAUACUGACCAAACCCAAAGGAAGGGCCGGCUAACUUCGUGCCAGCAGCCGCGGUAAUACGAAGGGCCCAAGCGUUAAUCAGAAUCACUGGGCUUAAAGGGUGCGCAGGCGGAACGGUCAGUGUCUCGUGAAAUCCCACGGCUCAACCGUGGAACUGCAGGGCAUACUGCCGUUCUUGAGGCCGGUAGAGGUGGCCGGAACUGUAGGUGUAGCGGUGAAAUGCGUAGAUAUCUACAGGAACGCCAAAGACGAAGGUAGGCCACUGGGCCGGUUCUGACGCUGAGGCACGAAAGCGUGGGGAGCAAACAGGAUUAGAUACCCUGGUAGUCCACGCCGUAAACGUUGUGCACUAGGUGCUGGAGGUCCUGACACCAUCGGCGCCGAAACGAAAGCGAUAAGUGCACCGCCUGGGGAGUACGGUCGCAAGGCUAAAACUCAAAGGAAUUGACGGGGGCUCACACAAGCGGUGGAGCAUGUGGCUUAAUUCGAGGCAACGCGAAGAACCUUAUCCUGGGCUUGACAUGCAUGGAUUAACGCUUGGAAACAAGCGCCACGCUCUUCGAGUGGAACAUGCACAGGUGCUGCAUGGCUGUCGUCAGCUCGUGCUGUGAAGUGUUGGGUUAAGUCCCUUAACGAGCGAAACCCCUGUCGCUAGUUACCAGCGGGUCAUGCCGGGCACUCUAGUGAGACUGCCGGUGUCAAACCGGAGGAAGGCGGGGAUGACGUCAAGUCCUCAUGGCCUUUAUGCCCAGGGCUGCACACGUGCUACAAUGGCGCCGACAGAGCGAAGCGAGGCCGCGAGGCGGAGCAAAUCGCAAAAAAGGUGCCCCAGUUCGGAUUGCAGUCUGCAACUCGACUGCAUGAAGUCGGAAUCGCUAGUAAU
rnacentral:rRNA from 1 species